GGAAAUCUAUGAAAUUUUAACACAAGGUUUAUGACCACAAAAGGAAGGUUGGUAUUGAUUUUGGGAGUUUUGGUCCCAACAUUUUAGGAAUUAGGGGCCAAAAAGGGCCCAAAUAAGCAUUUUCUUGGUUUUCGCACUAUAACUUUAGUUUAAGUUAAUAGAAAUCUAUGAAAUUUUGACACAAGGUUUAUGACCACAAAAGAACGGUUGGGAUUGAUUUUGGGAGUUUUGGUCUCAACAGUUUAGGAAUUAGGGGCCAAAAAAGGGCCCAAAUAAGCAUUAUUCUUGGUUUUCGCACAAUAACAUUAGUUUAAGUAAAUAGAAAUCAAUGAAAUUUAAACACAAUGUUAAUGACUACAAAAGGAAGGUUGGUAUUGAUUUUGGGAGUUUAGGUCCCAACAGUUUAGGAAUUAGGGGCCAAAAAGGGACCCAAAUAAGCAUUUUUCUUGGUUUUCGCACCAUAACGUUAGUAUAAG
rnacentral:lncRNA from 1 species